GACGAACGCUGGCGGCGUGCUUAACACAUGCAAGUCGAACGGAAAGGCCCUGCUUUUGUGGGGUGCUCGAGUGGCGAACGGGUGAGUAACACGUGAGUAACCUGCCCUUGACUUUGGGAUAACUUCAGGAAACUGGGGCUAAUACCGGAUAGGAGCUCCUGCUGCAUGGUGGGGGUUGGAAAGUUUCGGCGGUUGGGGAUGGACUCGCGGCUUAUCAGCUUGUUGGUGGGGUAGUGGCUUACCAAGGCUUUGACGGGUAGCCGGCCUGAGAGGGUGACCGGCCACAUUGGGACUGAGGUACGGCCCAGACUCCUACGGGAGGGAGCAGUGGGGAAUAUUGCACAAUGGGCGGAAGCCUGAUGCAGCAACGCCGCGUGCGGGAUGACGGCCUUCGGGCUGUAAACCGCUUUCGCCUGUGACGAAGCGUGAGUGACGGUAAUGGGUAAAGAAGCACCGGCUAACUACGUG
rnacentral:rRNA from 1 species